rnacentral:rRNA from 1 species
CUUGGCGGCGUGGAAUGAAGGCAUGCAAGUCGAACGCGAACAGNAAUAACUAAUUCGUUAGUAGUUCCUAGUAGAGUGGCGAACGGGUGAGUAACACGUGGAUAACAUACCUUUCAGUGGGGAAUAACAUCGGGAAACUGAUGCUAAUACCGCAGAUGUCAUUUCAUUGAUUUUGAUUUGAUUAAAGGGGGGGCUCCUUCGGGACCUUCCGCUGAUAGAUUGGUCCGCGUCCCAUUAGCUUGUUGGUGGGGUAAUGGCCUACCAAGGCUUCGAUGGGUAGCCGGCCUGAGAGGGUGUCCGGCCACACUGGGAUUGAGAUACGGCCCAGACUCCUUCGGGAGGCAGCAGUCGAGAAUCUUCCACAAUGUACGAAAGUAUGAUGGAGCGACGCCGCGUGUGUGAUGAAGGCUUUAUGAGUUGUAAAGCACUGUCAGAGGGGAAGAACAAGCGUAUAACUAAUAAGGAUACGCUCUGACGUACCCUCAGAGGAAGCUCCGGCUAACUCCGUGCCAGCAGCCGCGGUAAUACGGAGGGAGCAAGCGUUGUCCGGAAUCAUUGGGCGUAAAGGGCACGUAGGCGGUUUGGUAAGUCGAAUGUGAAAUCUCAUGGCUUAACUGUGAAACUGCGUUCGAAACUACCAAACUUUGAGUACUGGAGAGGUAUGCGGAAUUCCUGGUGUA